CUAGAGUGUUUGUUCCAGGUGAAGGGCACGUUACACAGACCAUUAGUCCUAUAGUGCUUGUCUAGGUGAAGGGUACAUUACACAGACUAUUAGUCCUAUAGUGCUUGCUCC